rnacentral:rRNA from 1 species
AUUGAACGCUGGCGGCAGGCUUAACACAUGCAAGUCGAGCGGUAACAGAGAGAAGCUUGCUUCUCUGCUGGCGAGCGGCGGACGGGUGAGUAAUGCCUAGGAAUCUGCCUAGUAGUGGGGGAUAACUUGCCGAAAGGUAAGCUAAUACCGCAUACGUCCUACGGGAGAAAGGAGGGGACCUUCGGGCCUUUCGCUAUUAGAUGAGCCUAGGUCGGAUUAGUUAGUUGGUGAGGUAAUGGCUCACCAAGACCGCGAUCCGUAACUGGUCUGAGAGGAGGAUCAGUAACACGGGAACUGAGACACGGUCCAGACUCCGACGGGAGGCAGCAGUGGGGAAUAUUGGACAAUGGGGGGAACCCUGAUCCAGCCAUGCCGCGUGUGUGAAGAAGGUCUUGGGAUUGUAAAGCACUUUAAGUUGGGAGGAAGAGCAGUUAACUAAUAUUUGACUGUUUUGACGUUACCGACAGAAUAAGCACCGGCUAACUUCGUGCCAGCAGCCGCCGUAA